AUGAAUCUUUCUUGCUUACAAAUUACCCUGCCUCAGGUAUUCUGUUACGGAAGCACAAAGUGGACUAAGACACAACUGUGGGAAAGAAAACUCACUGAGGCUGUAGGGAAAAUGGUGCUGACCCAAGUUCCUUUAAAAAUGAAUAGAAUCUGUAGGCUGAAGGCAAAUGAACUAUACUUCAUAAUCAGAUUCCAUUUUAUAAAGUUCUUUCCAACAGGGGUGAUUGUGAACAAUUGUAAAACCACAGUACCUGCAUCUGGAAUCAAACAAUGAGUUACAUAAGUUGUAGACGGUAGGAACCAGGUCUCUCACUGUUGAAGUGGGAGAUUCCAAAUUAGCAAGUGGCGAAGGGUAGAAAGAUUUAUGUGAUAGUGAAUCAGAGGUGGAGCCAUCAACAUAACCUUAGGUUUAGUUUAAUGCAGAUACCUACAGUUCCACAUCGAAACCUUUGCAAUUGGGUGUGUAGAGGUAGGUGACAUACACACAGAUACUUCCUAGCAUUGCUAAUGAGGGACAAGACACGACGUGCUCAUUCGGCAGCCAGACAUGUUUUCCUGCCAUUCUCAAAGGAAUCAGGCCCUUUGAAGAAAUGUCUGAUACUAGAACUGGGGCAGUAAACAGAUGAGCCAGGAUAAUCUUGAAGUAUCAAAGUUAGUAAGUACUAAAAAAAAACCUGAAAUAUGUCAAAGAAAAAUUGGAGCCAAUAAGAAGAGCUGCCACUGGCCAACACACGAAUGAACCGUGCAACAUAAUGCCGUCGUGUUUCAUACUAACCAAAGCUUCAGGUCAUUAUCUAGGUGUCUGUAUUUGUACAUGCAGGUGAGUAACACAUGGGGUUGAAUAGAAAUCUCCUUUGGAAUUCCAAACAAUUGAUGUAGACGCUCAGCCAUCAAGAAGGUGGAGCUCACCCCUCACUCCAUGAGUACGGGUUUUACAUAUGUGCAAACUUACGGAUCAUGUUUUUUUCUUGUGCUGUGGUUGUGUCCUGGGUUCCUCCUCUAAAAUGCCUUAGACCAGGACAAGAAAAGUAAAGUUACAGACUGUUUCAAUUCAUGGCUAAAUGUUUUUAAAAGAGCGACUUUGUAAAAAUAUGUUCCAAUGGCAAAUGGAUUCAUUGUGACUGGAUCACUUAUUCCAAAUCCUUCCUGUCUUCAUUUUGUUCCAGUGCCUACUUUUUAGCCAUAAUACACCAGAAUCAAGUAUUGGCCACCGGGAAAAAAUAUUCAAAGAAAGAAAGACCGUGAACCGAACUUGUGAGUUCAAAAUUAAAUGUUUCAUCAGAACACUUUCUAAAACAGAAGAGUUUAAAAGGAUAUUCAAAGUCUAUCUCCUCAAUGAAACUUUGCAGAAAAUACAGAAACUAGAAAACAAAAAUGGCAGGACAUUCUAUGGGUGAUUUUAGAUGUUUCUAUGUUUUAUGGGAAAAAAUCACUUUACCUUUUAAAGAAUCACAAAGAAUUACUGGAAACCCAAACUCUGGAAUGUUUCCAAAUUUAUUUGGACUUCUAUGUGUUUAUGUCUGUAUAGCUAGUCAUGAAGGUGAUGAUUUUUUAAAAAAUCUGCACCUAUUUGUGUAAUAAAAUACACAAUGAAUAAUUAACA
rnacentral:lncRNA from 13 species